GAAUCUGGCUUCAGGUCGGGGACAACCACUGGAAACGGUGGCUAAUACCGGAUGUGCCGAAAGGUAAAAGAUUUAUCGUCUGAAGAUGAGCUCGCGUCUGAUUAGCUAGUAGGUGGGGUAAAAGCCUACCUAGGCGACGAUCAGUAGCUGGUCUGAGAGGAUGACCAGCCACACUGGGACUGAGACACGGCCCAGACUCCUACGGGAGGCAGCAGUGGGGAAUUUUCCGCAAUGGGCGAAAGCCUGACGGAGCAAUACCGCGUGAGGGAGGAAGGCUCUUGGGUUGUAAACCUCUUUUCUCAAGGAAGAACAAAAUGACGGUACUUGAGGAAUCAGCAUCGGCUAACUCCGUGCCAGCAGCCGCGGUAAUACGGAGGAUGCAAGCGUUAUCCGGAAUGAUUGGGCGUAAAGCGUCCGCAGGUGGCUGUGUAAGUCUGCUGUCAAAGCGCGAGGCUCAACCUCGUAAAGGCAGUGGAAACUACACGGCUAGAGUGCGUUCGGGGCAGAGGGAAUUCCUGGUGUAGCGGUGAAAUGCGUAGAUAUCAGGAAGAACACCGGUGGCGAAAGCGCUCUGCUAGGCCGCAACU
rnacentral:rRNA from 1 species